rnacentral:lncRNA from 1 species
GGAACAUGAAAAACACUAGGAAGAGAGAUAGAGGGAAAGGAAAUAAAACUAACUCCUUGAACAGGAACUGAAGCUCCAUUAGCCGUUUCUACCAAAAACUAUGGCCAAAAAAAUUGCCAAGAGAAUGGAAGUCCGAGGAAGAGCCCGUCAUGUGAUGGGAGGCUCCAGAGUUAUUCACCCACGAAGAUGAUGGACGAGAAGUGGAAG